CAGAGAAUCUCUCUCUCUCACCAUGGCGAACGUAAACCCCCCCAACGACGUUCUUCGGCGGAGCGGCCCCCGUGGCGGCGCCGCCGGAGAGCCCCUACAAACGCUGUAUUUUCGUGGCUUCUCUGAGUAUGAUUAUCGCAAUCAGUCA
rnacentral:misc_RNA from 1 species